CCUAGUAACAUAAUUACCUUCAAUCCUUUUUUUUUUUUUCUAUCUACUGUGUUGUUUCUUUCUUCUCCUCAAUCCCUAACCCGUACUUGCCACCACCGUUCCUCUCACCCCACGCUCACGCAUCCCUAUCGCCGGCGUUGCCAGGCAUCGUUCCUCUCACCAACGAUCACGCAUCCAUGUCACCGUCCCUUGCAGGUUGCAGCCUGCUAUUUCGCCAUUGUAGAGAAGGUCUCGAUAGAGCUCUUCCCUCUCCGUAGCAAGCAAGAGGAGCACAACAAGCUCGUCUUCCCUCUCCACAGUAAGCAAGGAGGAGCUCAAGGUAAUCGUAAAUUUUUUAUUUCACAUUAAAAUUGAAUCCCAGAGAGCGUCGACUGCGCGAACCGGCUACCUGCCGACUGCUUGGUGGAGGGUGAUGAUUUGUUUGAUGAGGACUUGAACGGAUUUAUUUCUGAGCUUACGAAUGCGAUUCCCAAAGUCAAUAAGGCCAUGAGCUUUGUUGAAAUUAUCAAAUUAGUCAGUUAUACUGUUGGAUACUGCUCCAACUGGUCAUAAUUUAAGACUAUUGCAAUUCCCAUCAUCUUUAGAGAAGGGGCUUGAGAAAGUUGUCUAAAAAAAAUAGAUUUGGCAGUAUGUUGACUCAAGUACUUGCAUUAUCCUUAGGCAAUUCAUGCAACAAUGCUAUUCAAAAAAAUUUCCUUAAAGUUGGAUGCGCUGUCUCACUUCCAUUUUGCUCCAAAGCCGGUUAUUGAGGACAUGUCUAUACAAGUCAAUGUACCUGCUCUAACAAUGGAAGAGGU